AAAAAUUAUCCUUGGGUGAGGAUUAACAACAAAAAUUUACUGGGUUAAAAGAUUAUUGUUUAUUUUAAAUGUUGAUGGAUACUGACCUAUAAAAGUUGAAAAUGUACUUCCACCAAUAGUGUUUGAGAGUCCCUGUUUCACUGUAUCUUUGCCAAUUAAACUCAUCUCCAGCUGGACUAUAUCUCUGGUCUUAUCAAACUUGUAAAAUUUGCCAAUCUUUUAGUUUAAAAAGACUUUAUAUAACUAUAUUAACUUUUGUAUUUUAACAGAAUUUGUGUAUUUUUUCAUGUGUAUUAGAUAUUUAAAUUUUUUCCUGAGUUUUUUUUUUUUUUUUUUUUGAUGUUUUUACUUUAAAAAAUGUUAAUAGUUAAAGGUCAUUAAAAUUUGAUUGUGUCUAAUUGUCAAGUAUGACCAUGUAAUCUUGAGAUUCUAUACUGCAUUGAGGUUGUCAAUAAGCAGAACAUAACAUUUAGUUGCAGCCUAAGCUGAAGCCAUUGGAAUGUAUGAUAUAAUUUAGUGAUUGAUUGUUGUGAGAAAUUUUUCAGUGUACUGAUUUCUAACAAACUUUAAUUGGCAUAUAUAUCUUAUUUGUGCUAUUAGAGAAAUUAUAGCUGAAUAACUGGAAAUAGUGCUUUCCAUUAGCUAACUUUUUCUUAUAUUGUUAUUUUUAUGUUUUCAAAUAAAGUGCCUCUGAUUGGA